CCUACGGGCGGCAGCAGUGGGGAAUAUUGGACAAUGGGGGCAACCCUGAUCCAGCCAUGCCGCGUGUGUGAAGAAGGCCCUCGGGUUGUAAAGCACUUUCAGUGAGGAAGAACGCCUGGUGGUUAAUACCCAUCAGGAAAGACAUCACUCACAGAAGAAGCACCGGCUAACUCCGUGCCAGCAGCCGCGGUAAUACGGAGGGUGCGAGCGUUAGUCGGAAUUACUGGGCGUAAAGCGCGCGUAGGUGGCUUGAUAAGCCGGUUGUGAAAGCCCCGGGCUCAACCUGGGAACGGCAUCCGGAACUGUCAAGCUAGAGUGCAGGAGAGGAAGGUAGAAUUCCCGGUGUAGCGGUGAAAUGCGUAGAGAUCGGGAGGAAUACCAGUGGCGAAGGCGGCCUUCUGGACUGACACUGACACUGAGGUGCGAAAGCGUGGGUAGCAAACAGGAUUAGAUACCCCAGUAGUC
rnacentral:rRNA from 1 species